rnacentral:rRNA from 1 species
GGGGAAUAUUGGGCAAUGGGCGAAAGCCUGACCCAGCGACGCCGCGUGGGUGAUGAAGGCCUUCGGGUUGUAAAACCCUUUCGUGCGGAAAGAAUAGUCCUGUAGCGAAUAACUACGGGAUUUGACGGUACCGCAGGAAGAAGCACCGGCUAACUCCGUGCCAGCAGCCGCGGUAAUACGGAGGGUGCAAGCGUUGUUCGGAAUUACUGGGCGUAAAGGGCGCGUAGGUGGUUGUGAUAGUCAGAUGUGAAAUCCUUCGGCUCAACCGAAGAACUGCAUCUGAAACUUCAUAGCUCGAGUACAGGAGAGGGAAACGGAAUUCCCGGUGUAGAGGUGAAAUUCGUAGAUAUCGGGAGGAACACCAGUGGCGAAGGCGGUUUCCUGGCCUGAUACUGACGCUGAGGCGCGAAAGCGUGGGGAGCAAACAG